rnacentral:rRNA from 1 species
CCCUUAGAUGUUCUGGGCUGCACGCGCGCUACACUGAUGCGUUCAACGAGUUUACGGCCUUGCCCGAUAGGGUUGGGUAAUCUUCUUAAAACGCAUCGUGAUGGGGAUAGAUUAUUGCAAUUAUUAAUUUUCAACGAGGAAUUCCUAGUAAGUGCGAGUCAUCAGCUCGUACUGAUUACGUCCCUGCCCUUUGUACACACCGCCCGUCGCUCCUACCGAUUGAGCGAUCCGGUGAAUGUUUUGGACUGGCGUCAGAAGCGGUUCGCUCCUGACACUACGAAAUUUUGUAAACCUUAUCGCUUAGAGGAAGGAAAAGUCGUAACA